rnacentral:rRNA from 1 species
GACGAACGCUGGCGGCGUGCCUAAUACAUGCAAGUAGAACGCUGAAGGAGGAGCUUGCUCUUCUGGAUGAGUUGCGAACGGGUGAGUAACGCGUAGGUAACCUGCCUGGUAGCGGGGGAUAACUAUUGGAAACGAUAGCUAAUACCGCAUAAGAGUAGAUGUUGCAUGACAUUUACUUAAAAGGUGCAAUUGCAUCACUACCAGAUGGACCUGCGUUGUAUUAGCUAGUUGGUGGGGUAACGGCUUACCAAGGCGACGAUACAUAGCCGACCUGAGAGGGUGAUCGGCCACACUGGGACUGAGACACGGCCCAGACUCCUACGGGAGGCAGCAGUAGGGAAUCUUCGGCAAUGGACGGAAGUCUGACCGAGCAACGCCGCGUGAGUGAAGAAGGUUUUCGGAUCGUAAAGCUCUGUUGUAAGAGAAGAACGAGUGUGAGAGUGGAAAGUUCACACGGUGACGGUAUCUUACCAGAAAGGGACGGCUAACUACGUG